UUGGGGAGGGAAAAUAAAGUACUGAAGUAACUGAUUCCGCACUGACAAGAAAAGCCGCUAUCGAGAGUAAAGGUACCCGUACCGCAAACCGACACAGGUAGGUGAGGAGAGAAUCCUAAGACGAGCGGGAGAAGCGUUGUUAAGGAACUCGGCAAAUUGACCCCGUAAGUUCGCGAGAAGGGGUGCCUCUAGGAAUAGAGGUCGCAGAGAAAAGGCCCAAGCAACUGUUUAUCAAAAACACAGGUCUCUGCUAAAUCGAAAGAUGAAGUAUAGGGGCUGACGCCUGCCCGGUGCUGGAAGGUUACGGGAAUCUGUUAGCUAUUAUGGCGAAGCAGUGAACUUAAGCCCCAGUAAACGGCGGCCGUAACUAUAACGGUCCUAAGGUAGCGAAAUUCCUUGUCAGGUAAGUUCUGACCUGCACGAAAGGCGUAAUGAUUUGGGCACUGUCUCAACAACGUACCCGGUGAAAUUGUAGUACUCGUGAAGGUGCGAGUUACCCGCGACAAGACGGAAAGACCCCAUGGAGCUUUACUGCAGCCUGAUACUGGGUUUUGGUAUUUUUUGUACAGGAUAGGUGGGAGGCUAGGAAGUAAGGGCGCAAGCCUUUAUGGAGCCACUGUUGGGAUACCACCCUAGAAGUACUGGAGCUCUAACCAGAGUUCAUAAACUGGGCUUGGGACACUGUCAGGUGGGCAGUUUUGACUGGGGCCGUCGCCUCCCAAAGGUAACGGAGGCGUCCAAAGGUUACCUCAGCGCGGUUGGAAAUCGCGUUUACAGAGUGCAAAGGCAUAAGGUAGCCUGACUGCGAGACAUACAGGUCGAGCAGGUACGAAAGUAGGGCUUAGUGAUCCGGCGGUAUGAGAGUGGAAUUGCCGUCGCUCAACGGAUAAAAGCUACCCUGGGAUAACAGGCUUAUCUCCCCCAAGAGUCCAUAUCGACGGGGAGGUUUGGCACCUCGAUGUCGGCUCAUCGCAUCCUGGAGCUGAAGACGGUUCCAAGGGUUUGGCUGUUCGCCAAUUAAAGCGGUACGCGAGCUGGGUUCAGAACGUCGUGAGACAGUUCGGUCCCUAUCUGUCGCGGGCGCAGGAUAUUUGAGGGGAUCUGUCCUUAGUACGAGAGGACCGGGAUGGACAAACCAAUGGUGUACCAGUUGUACCACCAGGUGCAUAGCUGGGUAGCCAAGUUUGGAAGGGAUAAACGCUGAAGGCAUCUAAGCGUGAAACCCACCCCAAGAUGAGAUAUCCCAUCCUGUAUUAAUAC
rnacentral:rRNA from 1 species